rnacentral:tRNA from 2 species
GGGCUCGUAGAUCAGGGGUAGAUCGUUGCGUUCGCAACGCAAAGGCCGCGGGUUCAAAUCCCGCCGAGUCCAC